rnacentral:rRNA from 1 species
AUUGAACGCUGGCGGCAGGCCUAACACAUGCAAGUCGAGCGGAGCGGCGGACGGGUGAGUAAUGCCUAGGAAUCUGCCUGGUAGUGGGGGAUAACGUCCGGAAACGGGCGCUAAUACCGCAUACUAUCAGAUGAGCCUAGGUCGGAUAAGCUAGUUGGUGGGGUAAAGGCCUACCACGGCGAUGAUCCUUAACUGGUCUGUGAGGAUGUUCAGUCACACUGGAACUGAGUAAGGGUCCAGACUCCUACGGAAGGAAGCAGUGGGGAAUAUUGGACAAUGGUCGAAAGCCUGAUCCAGCCAUGCCGCGUGUGUGAAGAAGGUCUUCGAAUUGUAAAGCACUUUAAGUUGGGAGGCGUUACCAACAGAAUAAGCACCGGCUAACUCCGUGCCAGCAGCCGCGGUAAUAC